UCUCUGCCUGGAGGCUGUCCAUGUCCUCUACGGGACACACACACACAGAGAGAAACGGUUGAUUAUUGCGGGAAGAUCAAACACACUUUUGAGGUUGAGAUUCAGAUGCGAGAGUAUGUGGCUCACCUGGACCGGAAGUGAUGCUCUCCUCCAGGUCAGACAGCGGCUGUAACUUGGAUGACAGCCACCGGCAAAGGUCCACAUACUCCGGGGAGGACAGGCCUCCCUCUGCGGCUCUGAGCAGCGCCUUCUCCUCCAGCAGAGGACCGUCAUAGCUGAGAAUAACGACGGAGAGAGAAAAAUAAGCAACACGCACCCCCAGGUGUUAGACUGAGAGUGAAAGUAGCAGUUCCUCCUUAAGGUCAGAGAUUGCAGCAUCUGAGGGCCUCUUCAAAAGAAGAUGUAGUUGAUGAAGGCGUUCUGGAGCAGGACCAGAAAGACCACGACCAAGCAGCCUUGAGAUCUUAGGCAGCGUCUCCCUCAGGUCCCUCUCUAUCUCCCCACACAUCCACCAACCACUGGAACAUAUCUCCAAAGUUCUGCCGGGCCAGCUCAGCUUCCCCUCAGAAGAAGUGCCGCCACCUGACAGAUGAAGGAGCCUUUUGAGAGGCAGCUGGCAUCGUGAUUGGACUGUACUUUGGUCUGUUCCAAUCCAGCUUCAGCUCCAGAGACGGCAGGCGGGACGAGUCAACGAAGGCCGGGUGGACGAAGGCAUGCAGCUGAGUACAAUCCAGAAAACAACAGAGGAGGAGUGCAGCGGCCUAGUGGCAAAACAAACAGAGUAGCAUGACCAAAGAACUACAGACUCUUCACAACCUGCUCAAACUCUUGGUACAGGACCUCACCACACGGGUCAAGAAGGUUUCCGUCUCAUUUCUACUCUGAAGCUCACCUUCUCCAGCUCAAACUGCUGAUAAAUGUUUCUGCUGCUCUAAAGUCUGGUCUCCAGCACUUCCUAUAAACUCUGAGUCUCUUCUGCUGCAGGUUGCUUUGUAGAACUGUUCCAGAAAACCUCACUAAACCACAUGGAGGGGCCUCAAGAUAGUCGUCCAAAUGAAACUGUACAAAAACCAAACUAGUACAACCCAAACGCUGAAGUCUCCUGCAGCCUACCAGAGAACCUCUUUAAACAGAGAAUCAGGACAGGAGCUCUUACCUUCUGGACAACCAACGUUGCUUCACAAACAAGAAUACAGAAUGUGUCUGACCAAAAACCUCUAAAGACUCACUACAGCCAAGAUAAAGACACAACUCAGCUGCACCAAAUCCACUAAUCACUGCACACAUUAGCACCAUGUGCUAACUGUGGCUAAAGAACCACAUUUACCAAGACAACUAUCCAGUAGAAAGCCCUAAAACACACCAAGAAACACAUUAAAGACGAUUUUACUGCUGGAAGCUGCAAGCCAACGCCUAAAGAACAAACUAAAGCAAUGGAACCAAACCCGGUUCGGUGGUGAAGAGAAACAGAGGAAAUGUUUGAUGCAGCGAAAUAAAGCAGGAAGACACUGCUCAGGUGUUCCUGAUAACACCAAGCAGCCACCUGGACAGCCAAUAGGAACACAGCUUACUGGAAGUCCAGAGGGCUGGGUUAGUGAAGUAAAUUUAGUUUAAAGUUGAAGCAGAAAGUUAACAAAGAAAGUUGAAAACCACCUUCUGAUCCCUGAAAUCUCUGAGUUUUCACACAAAGAACACCUGAACAUGUCAAACUGGUUUCAUAGUAGAACCAUCACUGUAAAAACAUCAUAGUAUGGUGUGUUGCUCAAAAAACAUUAGGACCCGACUGUCGAGGGUCGCCGAGGAGCAACACAAAAACAGGACAAACGCUGGUUUCCAGGGGGUUAGGCGGGUAUUUAUUUGAAAGAGUAAGUUUACAACAACACAACAUGUGAGCAGAAAAAUCACAGUCUGUCUUUAGUUCAGCUGAAAAUAUUAGUUUUUGUCUUUUUUAUUGACCAAACUUUUCAGGAAGUAGAUGAAGAAUAAUUAAAGCUCUCAUGUAGAAGUCCAACUUAUUUUGGAUCCUUGUGGAGAGUUUAAUCUUAGAGUUUGUAAAGCUGUUGAGUUUUUAGAGUCACAUGGAUUGUUUUGACAUUUAAUAACCGAGUCCUGAAAUAAAAUUACAGUUGUGGAUUUCUGUCAUUUAGUCUGGACUAAACAAAUAACAGCAGCAUAAAUCUCAAACGUCAUUAUGAGGAGUCUGGAUUGAGGUUUCUCACUUGAUAAUGAUCAAAACAUGAAAUUUAGGUCGAUUUAAAGGAAUAGUCCACCUUAAAUCUUUGAAUGUUGACCUAAAAGGUUGGUUUCAGGAAGUAUUCCACCUACAAGGUCCUCAAACAUCCCCCUUAAAGGAACAUUCCACCAAAAAUCCUUGGACAUGCACCUAAAAUGUUGGUUUAACUGAGUAUUCCAUCCAAAAUUCUCAAAGAGACCUGAAGGGCUGGUUAAAACCCCACCUAAAACCCCAAAUAUAGACCCAAAAGGGUGGUUUAGAAAAAAAAUCCUUCAAUGUAGACCAAAAAAGUUAGUAUGGAGGAAUAUUCCACCUGAAAUGUAGACCUGAGAAGUUGGUUCAGAAGAAUAUACCAUCCUAAACAUCCUUAAAUGUAGACUAAAAGAUGGUUUGGAAGAAAAUUCCACCUAAAAUCCUCCAAUGUAGACCUAAAAGGUGAGUUUAAUGGUAUAUUCCACCUAAAAUUCACUACUGUAGACCUUAGAGGUUGGUCUGAUGGUAUAUUCCACCCAACAUCCUUGAACAUAAACUUAAAAAGUUCAUUCAAAGGAAUAUUCCACCUAAAAUCUUUCAAUGUAGACCAAAAAAUCUUGGUGUAAAGAAGUAUUCCACCUUAAAUGUAGACCUAAAGGAUGGUUUGGAGUAAUAUUUUACUUUAAAAUCUUCCAAUGUAGACCUAAAAGGUUGAUCUGAUGGUAUAUUCUACUCAACAUCCUGGAACAUUUACCUAAAAGGUUGGUUUAAUGGUAUAUUCCCAGAAGAACCCUUGAACAUCGGGCUUAAUGGUAUAUUCCACCCAAAGUACUUGUACAUAUACCAAGGAGUCAGUGUAAAGGAAAUGUAGACCUAAAAGGAUUGUUUAAAGGAAUAUUUAAACAAUUAUUUUCAUUAUUUAAUAAUCUGUUAUCAGUC